CGGGUAUCCUUCAGCUAUCAUGCAGUCGAGCGACUGAUUAGAAGCUUGCUUCUAUGACGUUAGCGGCGUAAGGUGAGUAACACGUGGGCAACCUGCCUGUAAGACUGGGAUAACUUCGGGAAACCGAAGCUAAUACCGGAUAGGAUCUUCUCCUUCAUGGGAGAUGAUUGAAAGAUGGUUUCGGCUAUCACUUACAGAUGGGCCCGCGGUGCAUUAGCUAGUUGGUGAGGUAACGGCUCACCAAGGCAACGAUGCAUAGCCGACCUGAGAGGGUGAUCGGCCACACUGGGACUGAGACACGGCCCAGACUCCUACGGGAGGCAGCAGUAGGGAAUCUUCCGCAAUGGACGAAAGUCUGACGGAGCAACGCCGCGUGAGUGAUGAAGGCUUUCGGGUCGUAAAACUCUGUUGUUAGGGAAGAACAAGUACGAGAGUAACUGCUCGUACCUUGACGGUACCUAACCAGAAAGCCACGGCUAACUACGUGCCAGCAGCCGCGGUAAUACGUAGGUGGCAAGCGUUAUCCGGAAUUAUUGGGCGUAAAGCGCGCGCAGGCGGUUUCUUAAGUCUGAUGUGAAAGCCCACGGCUCAACCGUGAGGGUCAUUGGAAACUGGGGAACUUGAGUGCAGAAGAGAAAAGCGGAAUUCCACGUGUAGCGGUGAAAUGCGUAGAGAUGUGGAGGAACACCAGUGGCGAAGGCGGCUUUUUGGUCUUGUAACUGACCGCUGAAGGCGCGAAAGCGUGGGGGAGCAAACAGGGAUUAGAAUACCUGGUAGUCCACCCGUAACCGAUGAGUGCUAACGGUUAGAAGGGUUCCGCCCUUUAGUGCUGCAGCUAACGC
rnacentral:rRNA from 2 species